UGCAUUCACUGUGACUAAACAGCAGUUUCCAAGCAACUCUACUGCAGAGUCGUUGCCAAGGUUGGGAGGAGGCGAAAAACAGAUGAGUCAUCAUGAGGAAACUGAAACAGAAACAGCAGUGGUUCCUUUAUGGGACCAUUUGCACUCUUGGGUAAUGUGGUGGAUUUUGAAGUUGGGGCAGGAGUCUGAGGCUCUGUUCUACUGGGACACCUUGCGAUGCUGCUCGGCCCCCCGAGGUCCUCCAGCCGAUUGUUUGUUACACGAGGCAGUUCCGGUUUGCCAUACUCUGCGGAAAGUGUACGUUGGUCAAUGGACAAUUUGCUUCAGUCUACCAGGCAGCACCGAGUGAAAGUAAAG